rnacentral:rRNA from 1 species
UACAGAGGUGGCAAGCGUUGUUCGGAAUUACUGGGCGUAAAGGGCGCGUAGGCGGCCUUCUAAGUCAGACGUGAAAUCCCCCGGCUUAACCUGGGAACUGCGUCUGAUACUGGGAGGCUUGAGUAUGGGAGAGGGAUGUAGAAUUCCAGGUGUAGCGGUGAAAUGCGUAGAUAUCUGGAGGAACACCGGUGGCGAAGGCGGCGUUCUGGACUGCAACUGACACUGAUGAACGAAAGCCAGGGGAGCAAACGGG